GAUGAACGCUGGCGGCGUGCCUAAUACAUGCAAGUCGAGCGAAUGGAUUAAGAGCUUGCUCUUAUGAAGUUAGCGGCGGACGGGUGAGUAACACGUGGGUAACCUGCCCAUAAGACCGGGAUAACUCCGGGAAACCGGGGCUAAUACCGGAUAACAUUUUGAACCGCAUGGUUCGAAAUUGAAAGGCGGCUUCGGCUGUCACUUAUGGAUGGACCCGCGUCGCAUUAGCUAGUUGGUGAGGUAACGGCUCACCAAGGCAACGAUGCGUAGCCGACCUGGGGGGGUGAUCGGCCACACGGGGACUGAGACACGGCCCAGACUCCUACGGGGGGCAGCAGUAGGGAAUCUUCCGCAAUGGACGAAAGUCUGACGGAGCAACGCCGCGUGAGUGAUGAAGGCUUUCGGGUCGUAAAACUCUGUUGUUAGGGAAGAACAAGUGCUAGUUGAAUAAGCUGGCACCUUGACGGUACCUAACCAGAAAGCCACGGCUAACUACGUGCCAGCCGCCGCAGUAA
rnacentral:rRNA from 1 species